GAGUUUGAUCAUGGCUCAGAUUGAACGCUGGCGGCAGGCCUAACACAUGCAAGUCGAACGGUAACAGGAAGAAGCUUGCUUCUUUGCUGACGAGUGGCGGACGGGUGAGUAAUGUCUGGGAAACUGCCUGAUGGAGGGGGAUAACUACUGGAAACGGUAGCUAAUACCGCAUAACGUCGCAAGACCAAAGAGGGGGACCUUCGGGCCUCUUGCCAUCGGAUGUGCCCAGAUGGGAUUAGCUAGUAGGUGGGGUAACGGCUCACCUAGGCGACGAUCCCUAGCUGGUCUGAGAGGAUGACCAGCCACACUGGAACUGAGACACGGUCCAGACUCCUACGGGAGGCAGCAGUGGGGAAUAUUGCACAAUGGGCGCAAGCCUGAUGCAGCCAUGCCGCGUGUAUGAAGAAGGCCUUCGGGUUGUAAAGUACUUUCAGCGGGGAGGAAGGGAGUAAAGUUAAUACCUUUGCUCAUUGACGUUACCCGCAGAAGAAGCACCGGCUAACUCCGUGCCAGCAGCCGCGGUAAUACGGAGGGUGCAAGCGUUAAUCGGAAUUACUGGGCGUAAAGCGCACGCAGGCGGUUUGUUAAGUCAGAUGUGAAAUCCCCGGGCUCAACCUGGGAACUGCAUCUGAUACUGGCAAGCUUGAGUCUCGUAGAGGGGGGUAGAAUUCCAGGUGUAGCGGUGAAAUGCGUAGAGAUCUGGAGGAAUACCGGUGGCGAAGGCGGCCCCCUGGACGAAGACUGACGCUCAGGUGCGAAAGCGUGGGGAGCAAACAGGAUUAGAUACCCUGGUAGUCCACGCCGUAAACGAUGUCGACUUGGAGGUUGUGCCCUUGAGGCGUGGCUUCCGGAGCUAACGCGUUAAGUCGACCGCCUGGGGAGUACGGCCGCAAGGUUAAAACUCAAAUGAAUUGACGGGGGCCCGCACAAGCGGUGGAGCAUGUGGUUUAAUUCGAUGCAACGCGAAGAACCUUACCUGGUCUUGACAUCCACGGAAGUUUUCAGAGAUGAGAAUGUGCCUUCGGGAACCGUGAGACAGGUGCUGCAUGGCUGUCGUCAGCUCGUGUUGUGAAAUGUUGGGUUAAGUCCCGCAACGAGCGCAACCCUUAUCCUUUGUUGCCAGCGGUCCGGCCGGGAACUCAAAGGAGACUGCCAGUGAUAAACUGGAGGAAGGUGGGGAUGACGUCAAGUCAUCAUGCCCCUUACGACCAGGGCUACACACGUGCUACAAUGGCGCAUACAAAGAGAAGCGACCUCGCGAGAGCAAGCGGACCUCAUAAAGUGCGUCGUAGUCCGGAUUGGAGUCUGCAACUCGACUCCAUGAAGUCGGAAUCGCUAGUAAUCGUGGAUCAGAAUGCCACGGUGAAUACGUUCCCGGGCCUUGUACACACCGCCCGUCACACCAUGGGAGUGGGUUGCAAAAGAAGUAGGUAGCUUAACCUUCGGGAGGGCGCUUACCACUUUGUGAUUCAUGACUGGGGUGAAGUCGUAACAAGGUA
rnacentral:rRNA from 1 species